UUUGUAGGCACAUUUCAUGUUGUUCAAAAGCCGCCUUUCUGCGCUUCUGACAUCCAACAAUAUGCGACGAAGGUUUUCCCUGAUUCUUCGAGUGCUUAGUGACGUUGGUAAUAACAUCACGCUGCUGAACCUGCAAGGUUCUACCAUGAAGGCGUUGGAGAAGAAGAAAACGGAGGAGAAGAAGAAAGAGGCGAAGGAGAAGAAGAAGAGCAUACUUAAGACGGAGGGCGGGAUACCCUUCUUCGGUGGUGUAAUGGCGGCGAUAGUCUAAAAGUCUCGACGUCCCCUUACUGGUGAAAUGUUGUCAAUAUGAUAACAUACGGAGUAGGAAACGAUGCCCCAAAAGUAUGAAAAAGAAGUGAUCAAACGUCGAGUAACUCACCGGGGCUUGCCGUUACGUUUUGACGUCGACUCUUGAAGGGGAACUAGGACAACAAGUUGAUUCGGGGCUUGGUUGGAAGAAGCGCGGCGCUGAUUUGUCCAGGUGGUCCCGUAAUCCGCCAAUGGCGUUCGCUGACACUGACGUUUGAUGGACGAAAGCGCGCUAAAACACGGCGGAAAUGUAGUAUGUCCACUACGGAAGAGGAUUAGGGCCAGUGAAGGGGGUGUGACACGAUUCUGACCUUCUUUUCUCAAAAUUCUGACUUUGAAGUGAGAAUUCUCACUUUAAAGUCUAAGUUCGCACUUUACAGGAUUUUGACUUUUUUUUAUUUUUAUUAAAGGGAUUCUGACUUUUUUUCUCACAGACAUCUGACUUUAAAGUGAGAAUUCACACUCUAAAGUCAGAAUUCUGAGCCCUAAUCCUCUUCCACAAUGGUGGAAGAUAUUUUUUACGUAAAAAACUAUGUACUCAAGUGCAAUUACUACACUCCCAUUCAUACUUAGUAGUACUCGUUCAACUCCUGAAAUGCAUAAUGCACAAUUUAGAUGUGUCAUGAAGCCUGUAUUUCAAUAUUAAGGUCCUCAUUUCAGAUCUGUAUUUCAAUAUAUUAUUCAUUCUACAUUUGUUUUGCAGAGCUGCCAACCUAUAGUAUUUCACUUCCUGAACAUUUUGAAGUUUCACGAUUUAAAAAUACUGCCAGGAAUAUUCCAGUUUCACUGCACACUUCAGUAAAGGCUAUGAAUAUAUACUAACCUCACUAAAUCCAAGGCAUUGCAAUUGCACAAAUUAAUAUUGACGGUUCAGAAAAAGAAAUUUAUCACAAAAUUACUUGAUUUUAUUGCUUGACAUUUUUGUGGGCCUACACUUGUUAAACAUGACUAAAAAAUUUCACGUCACAAUAAAACUUGCUUCUAGAGCUGAA